UGGAUUAGCGGCGGACGGGUGAGUAACACGUGAGUAACCUGCCUUAGACAUUGGGAUAGCCUCGGGAAACCGGGAUUAAUACCAAAUAAAAUCAUAAUGACACAUGUCAUAACGAUCAAAACUCCGGUGGUCUAAGAUGGACUCGCGUCCCAUUAGCUAGUUGGUAGAGUAAAAGCCUACCAAGGCGACGAUGGGUAGCCGGCCUGAGAGGGUGAACGGCCACAUUGAAACUGAGAAACGGUCCAA
rnacentral:rRNA from 1 species